UCCACGCUAAAACACCACAAAGAGAUUCU
rnacentral:piRNA from 1 species